AACGAACGCUGGCGGCAUGCCUAACACAUGCAAGUCGAACGAAGCCUUCGGGCUUAGUGGCGCACGGGUGCGUAACACGUGGGAAUCUGCCCUUCGGUUCGGAAUAACAGUUAGAAAUGACUGCUAAUACCGGAUGAUGACGUAAGUCCAAAGAUUUAUCGCCGAAGGAUGAGCCCGCGUAAGGAUUAGGUAGUUGGUAGGGUAAUGGCCUACCAAGCCGACGAUCCUUAGCUGGUCUGAGAGGAUGAUCAGCCACACUGGGACUGAGACACGGCCCAGACUCCUACGGGAGGCAGCAGUGGGAAUAUUGGACAAUGGGCGAAAGCCUGAUCCAGCAAUGCCGCGUGAGUGAUGAAGGCCUUAGGGUGUAAGCUCUUUACCAGGGAUGAUAAUGACAGUACCUGGAGAAUAAGCUCCGGCUAACUCCGUGCCAGCAGCCGCGGUAAU
rnacentral:rRNA from 1 species